UUCCGGUUUCACCCCUAGUACGGGUCAUCUAUAUAUCGAUCCACUGACCGCCGGUCAUCAAUGGGCCACACCCUCAACUCCACCACUCUCGAAACAAAGACAAACGUCAAAAUUAACGAAGGAUUUGGCGAUUUAACGCUCAAAAACCAAACACAAGAUGAAAUGCGACUCGAUCCGAAGAGCGAAAUCAAAACUCACACAAAAUUAAAUUCCAAGUGAAGGGAUGAGCUGGAGAAAGGCGAGUCCUAAGCCGAUUUGGAACGCCCACAACAAUUUGUAACGGACAACGGACAAAGGUCCUGGCACGAGACGAGUGCGUGUGCCAACUGGAUGGCCACGAGUUCUGUAUAACCCGACCAGACCGGGAUGC
ensembl:ncRNA lncRNA:CR44585 long non-coding RNA:CR44585